CCUGUGCAUUUUAGAGCUCAGAGUUGAGGCUGGCAGGCCAGAGAACUCACAAGUGUAGGUGCUGCGCUACACGAGGGGCAAGUCUUUUGCUAAUACCACAAGCGUCUCUGGCCCACUGAGUGGAGUUUGAUAGUAAUUCUUGUUACAAGU
ensembl:snoRNA SNORA62 Small nucleolar RNA SNORA62/SNORA6 family